rnacentral:rRNA from 1 species
GACGAACGCUGGCGGCGUGCUUAACACAUGCAAGUCGAACGAAGAGCGAUGGAAGCUUGCUUCUAUCAAUCUUAGUGGCGAACGGGUGAGUAACGCGUAAUCAACCUGCCCUUCAGAGGGGGACAACAGUUGGAAACGACUGCUAAUACCGCAUACGAUCUAAUCUCGGCAUCGAGAAUGGAUGAAAGGUGGCCUCUAUGUAUAAGCUAUCACUGAAGGAGGGGAUUGCGUCUGAUUAGCUAGUUGGAGGGGUAACGGCCCACCAAGGCGAUGAUCAGUAGCCGGUCUGAGAGGAUGAACGGCCACAUUGGGACUGAGACACGGCCCAGACUCCUACGGGAGGCAGCAGUGGGGAAUCUUCCGCAAUGGACGAAAGUCUGACGGAGCAACGCCGCGUGAGUGAUGACGGCCUUCGGGUUGUAAAGCUCUGUUAAUCGGGACGAAAGGCCUUCUUGCGAAUAGUUAGAGGAAUUGACGGUACCGGAAUAGAAAGCCACGGCUAACUACGUGCCAGCAGCCGCGGUAAUACGUAGGUGGCAAGCGUUGUCCGGAAUUAUUGGGCGUAAAGCGCGC